UCAUUUUAUGCGCUCACACAAAAAAGAAUACAAAGCUAACUGAAACGGAAUCAUCACUUUUUGGGUGCGAUCUAAUAAUGAGUUCUGGCAAAUCCUCAUCCUCUGCCUACACCGGCGAGCCGACGACAGUAGGCGGAGGGCGAGGACAACCAUCGCCAUCAUCAUCAGAGAAGCAAAAGAAGAAGGCUAGAGUGAGCAGGACGUCAAUGAUACUAUGGCAUGCACAUCAAAACGACGCCGCAGCUGUAAGGAAACUUCUAGAGGAAGAUAGAUUCUUAGUUCACGCGAGGGAUUCUGAUUAUCGGACUCCACUUCACGUGGCUUCUCUUCAUGGAUGGAUCGAUGUUGCUAAGUGUUUGAUUGAGUUUGGAGCUGACGUCAACGCUCAAGAUCGUUGGAAGAACACGCCUUUAGCUGAUGCAGAAGGAGCUAAAAAGCAUAACAUGGUUGGGUUCCUAAAGUCAUAUGGUGGAUUGUCUUAUGGGCAAAAUGGAAGCCAUCUUGAACCAAAACCUGUUGCACCACCUUUACCGAACAAGUGUGACUGCGAAAUUGAUCCAUCUGAGCUCGACUUCUCGAACUCUGCAAAUACUGGGAAGGAUGAAAAUGGAGGCCUGGAAGGGGAAAUGAGGCUAAACAGUGUAGAUCAAGCCCGAAUAAGUUCCAGAUGCUGGUGGAGGAUAUUAGGGAAGGUGUGCUCGUAUUUGAAGACGAGAAUGAAGCUGUAAAAUAUUGUUAUUUACUGCAAGGAAGAGGUAAAUGUUGUGAAGGAGUUGCAGAAAUUGAUGCCUGAUCAUCGGUGUUUGAUAUUUGCCGUAAAAUGAGAGCUCUUGCGGUUCUAUUCCGAAGGGGAAGGACACCUCCUCUACCACAAAGCCUCGAACUUAA